AGAAGAGGUCGGGGUGGGGGACAGAGGGUUCUGGAGGCAGUGGGGGAGGGGAAGGCUGGGACGGGGUGGGCUCAGGGGUGCGGACUGAAACCCCACGCUUCACCUCACCCCUGGGUCUCAGUGGCCCCUUCUGGAUGCGCUGCGGGGGCUCCAGCCCUGCGGGGUCUCAGGGAAUCCCGGCAAGCGAUACACACCCUGUUCCGCCCCAGCAGAUGCUGCCGUGAAGGACACACAGCCUGAGGAGGCGGAGCAGCCGGACCAUCCGCAGAACAGGCAGGAUGCAGACCCCCGGGAGGGGACGGACGCCCAGGCUGCCGCAUCUGAAGCCCCCCAGGAUGUGACCUAUGCCCAGCUGAACCACUCGACCUUCAGACGGGAGACUGCACCCCCUGCCCCCCAGUCAGGAGAGGCCCCAGAAGAGCCCAGCGUGUAUGCUGCUCUCGCCGUCCGCUAGCCCAGGAAGGACCCAGACCCCACGCUCCAGGGAGGAAGACUGCACGGACCCCGGAAGGCACAGGAGCUGCCCGCAGUGGACACCACCUAACGACCCUUAGCCUGGACUCCCAACCAGGAGCUUCUGGGACCUUUUGGGUGUCACCGGAUUCUACCUUCAAAGAUAACUAAUAUCCUUACAUUUGGGAAAUAAUGCAACAGACUUCUCAAAAAUCAAUGUGUAAAUUGAAAACCAAAAUCAAAACGAAAAAACAAAACAAACAAAAAAAAACAGAAGUGGGAAAACGUUUUCAAUGAAUGAUAAUGUAAAUAAUACACAUCAAACAUAUGAACUGAGAAAAUUAAGAAUCAUGAAUGAAUGUAUUAGAAAAGCCUUUAAAAAAAUCGAUGAGGGCUUCCCU